CCUAUAAAUAGAUUUUGGUGUAGGUUCUUUUUUUUCUUUUUUUUACCGGGGUGCCAUCUUAAGUUAUGAGGCUUGCAUGCGAUUUCAUAACUACAGGAAUAUUAGCCAUUUAUGAGAUCAAUAGGCUUUAAGCCGGACGUCACAUGAACAAGCAGGUCGCAUUACAUCUGCUUGUCGGAGAAAGUGUUAACGGCAGUACCGAACUGACGCCGAUAGCCUAUGGACAUUUGAGCUCCUUCUGGCUUACCUUAAAGGAAGUAUAGAAGCCUGCUUCUGCUGCUGAGUUAAAAAAGAUUAUGUAACAUUUGAAGAGGCUCUAUCAUGAUCACUUGUAACGGCAUUGAAGAACCUCCUAAUAAAUGAGCGCUUCCAAUUACACAAAAGAGGAGACGUCUGUGCGAUGACGAUUCGACCCAUGAAAGCAUCGAGUGCAAGCGAUGAAGGAAGCUUGAAAGAAAUAUUUCCAUUUGAUCCUUUCAAACUGUGAUGUAUUUUAAUACAAAACAGUACGCAGCACCACAAGUGGGCUGGUGGAAGUGGAAACCUCUAGAGCUUCAAAGGACCCAUCAAUUGCGAUGACUGGCUAUUUAUAAAGUGCAGGCCCUAAUUCUCCGUGUUACAAGCACUCAGCAUUUGCAGGAACACAACACAGUAGCAUCCUGUUCAAAUCUAAUUCAUUCUGACCCAACCACUUAGCAUUCGCUCAAAAAGAAAGAAACGUGAAUGCUGUAGUCCAAUGGAGCUCAUUACAUUGGCUAUAAUGGCUCAAUAACAGUGGCUCCAACUCUUAAUUAUGGUUUUUAUGACUUUUAACAUGUUUUAUUUGUUGUGGGAAAUAUGUUUCAGUGCUAAUGCAUUUAUAAAUGACUAAAUUGGACACAUUAGAUGUAGCCACUCAGCAGUGGAAACAAAUGUGUCAUAAUAGAAUGAGCUGUAAGCUGUAACUUUAGUUUUUCCGUGCUUUAUAGGUGCUCCAUGCUGAGGAAUAACUAACUAAAAGUAGCAAUGCUACUAACAGCCAUAUUAGUUAAACUGGAGUGCAGUUUUUUCUGUAACAAGCUAUUUUGGUAACACUAUUUCGAUAGUCCACUUUAGACAUUCUACUAUAAGUAACUUUGCAACAUACUACCAGUCAUUAGAAUAUUAGUAGACUGUCUGCUUAAUAUCUUCUAACACUUUAUUUUGAUGCUCCCCAACAGACAUUCUUGGGUUUUGAAAUGUAAAAUUUCACAUGAACUCCAGAAGAAGAAGAAACACUCUGAUACAAGAAAAAAUGUAUAUAUUUUCAAUAUUCAUGAGAAAUCUUAAAUAUCUAAGAAUUAACUGUAUCAUCUUAUUUAGGUAAUAUAAAUAAUUUAAUUAAAUCUAAACAGUGUGCUAAAAAACAAUCAAAUUUAUGAAACCUACAUUUUCUUUUUCAAACAAAACAACAUUAAAGCAACAUAAAUGUUACUUUAUAAUGUUUUUAAUGAAAAUAAAUACAUUUUACUUGCAUAAAUGUUCACUUUGAUAAAAAAGAACAUAUUUCAUGCUGCAAUGGUCAAUCAAUAAGCAUGCAUAUUCAUGUUUAUCAACAAAAUUGAGUUACAAAAGUGUGUGUGAGAUAUGGAAAAGAGGCUACAUAUAUUUUACGAAAGUAUUUCUGAGACAAAUCUAACUCAUAUAUCAGAAAAAGGUCUGCAUAAUGUGUAAAGCCUCAUUUGAUCCACAGGUUGAAAUGGACCCGAAGCGAGAAAGUAUAACUUUUUUUUUUUAAA